rfam:Schistosoma margrebowiei strain Zambia genome assembly, scaffold: SMRZ_scaffold0000907
AUCCAGCUGAAGAGUCCCAAACAGAACGAAGCGCGCGUCCUGGGU